UACGUAGGGGGCUAGCGUUGCUCGGAAUCACUGGGCGUAAAGGGUGCGUAGGCGGGUCUUUAAGUCAGGGGUGAAAUCCUGGAGCUCAACUCCAGAACUGCCUUUGAUACUGAGGAUCUUGAGUUCGGGAGAGGGAAGCGGAAUUCCGGGUGUAGCGGUGAAAUGCGUAGAUAUCCGGAGGAACACCGGUAGCGAAGGCGGCUUCCUGGACCGACACUGACGCUGAGGCGCGAAAGCUAGGGGAGCAAACGGG
rnacentral:rRNA from 1 species